CUGGGCUCAGACCGUGCUCCCACCUCACUCAGACUCUCCAGUAGCUGGGACUACAGGUGUGCACCAGCAUACCCAGCUAAUUUUAUUAUUUUUAUUUUUUGUAGAGACAGAAUCUUACUGUGUUGCCAGGCUGGCCUAGAACUCCUGGGCUCAAGCAGUUCUCCAGCCUUGACCUCCAAAAUGUUGGGAUUACAGGUGUGAGCCAUGGCGCCCAAAUGACAACAGGAUAUUUAAGCACUGUCUCUGUCAUUUGCUGGGUACUAUAGUAGGGACUGGAAAUUCAACGUGAAAAAAAGUUAAAUCUCUGCUGCCUUAAAAUUUCUGGAGGCUGGAAUGUCCAAAAGCAAGGUGCCAGAAGAUUCAGUGUCUGAAAAGGGCCCUCUUCCUGGUUUACAGAUGAUAGUCUUUUCAAGAUGUCCUCACAAGAAGAAAGAAAGAAUCAGAAUGUAAGGAGAAAAUGUUUUCAGCUGGAACUUAAAUAGACCGGCCACAAAUAACCCGUAAUUCUCUAUAAAUGGACUGUCAUGCUGAGAACAGCUUUAUGCCACGCUGAUCCUAGCUCCACAAGAGCCGGCUAAGCUACACUUACCCAGUAGCAGGUCACACUCCAGAGCCCACUGGAUUCUUGCUGACACAAUAAGUACGCUUCCAGCUGGGGCCAAGAACAAUCUGGACUCAGGCAGAGUGUGAAUUACAGUGAAGAGCUACCACCCUCCUAACCACAGCCAAUCAACAGAAAAUAAACACAGGUAGGAGAAGGAAUGAACUCCUUUCCACAACAUGAGUACAUCACUUUUUCUCUGUUACAGUUUUGUGGAGGAAAUCAUCCCCUUGGGAUCUUCAGCGUUGUCUCAUUUACCUCCGCUCUCUCUAGAACUGGGUGGUGCAAAAAUGCCUAAGCCUUCUUGGGAAAGGAAACUGAGUGCCACAUGCAUAGGAGGCGUGGCUAUGGGUCAGCUGGUGUACCUCUAAUGCAAGUACCUCACAUGCUUAAAAUGGUUCUUCCUCCUAUCCCUCCUUUCCGUAAACUGCACCCUCUGUUUCACCCAAAACCAAAAUGGUAAAAUCACUGAGAAAACACAAGAGUUAUUGAAAUCAAAGUGUUAACAAUUCCUUUUAAGUGUAUCUUGCGUUUUAAAUGGAUGUGGUAUCUUAAUAUCAUAUUGUGAUUAUAUUUUUAAUUUUUCAAAGCCACAACCUGACUUAAAAGAGGUCAAUAUUCUUUUCCUCCUUUAAUAAAAUUGUACUGACAAGUUUUAAUAAAAGCUGUGCCUGUUUUAUAUUUUCUUGUUGUGGAUUAUAUACAAAAUUAAAUAUAGAAUCAUUUUAUGUUCAGUUAACAACUUUUAAUUUUUUUCCUAAUUGAAAUGUAAGAGUGUACAUAUUGUUACUAUGUAAGGCUUUGUAAAAUGUAGUCCUUUUAAAGCUAAAAGAAUAGGACCAAAAUAAUUCAACAUAAACAUGUAUUAAUCAUGUGUCAAUUACCAUUUAAAUCUGUACUACUAUUUUACUAUAGAUAACUUACUGAACACCUCCCUUCAAAAUAAA
rnacentral:lncRNA from 10 species